UCAAGAGCAUGCAUAUGGCAGGGCAUAUUACAAUUGUACCACGUUUAUGUCAGUAGGCAACGGCGGUGUACUCGUUUAUCCUUCUCUGGUAUCGAUUAUUUAAGCUGGCCUCAUGCUCCUUGCCAAACAAAAAAGAAAGCAGCUCGAACAUAGUACAUAGGCAGAGGGACAUCGUUAUUUUGCUCCGAGGUGGGGAUGAUAAUCUAAUUCUAAGGCCACAUGUCCCAUGCAAACCCUUUCUCAUUCUCUGGUUGAGCUACUUCUCUCUUUCUCACAUCACCGUGUAGUGGACAAAUGUAGAGCUACUUCUCU
rnacentral:lncRNA from 1 species